AUGCCUAUUACCCUCCAGGACCAAGAUUGCCUACACCUGUUGUAGACAUUGCAUAUUUGGCUAUCCACUGUCGGCCUGAUUCAUUUGGCCCCGGCACUGAUUGUUCCCAGGUGUGAAUCCUUGUGGGAUGUUUCCUUUCUUGUUUUUCAAAGCCCUUAAUAUGUUUUUGGUUGUCCAACUGGCCACUUUCAUGUAUACCUUCUGCCAAAUCUCAGGGACUGUAACAACCAAAAAGUUGGAAUGUGGAACUGUCAUCCAGGUAGACUCUGGGCAGGAUGGAGUCCUACAUUGCUCUGUGAUUCUUGGUGGUGAAUCAUCUCGGGACGUGAUGAUAGAGCAGGUGGUGUGGUGGAAGAAGGACCAGAAUCACCAUCGCACCCAUCCCCCAGUUUUCCAAUACAGCUUAGAUGAUCCCAGAUUUCUGCCAAGUCAAAGAUAUCAGCUCGCAGGGUCAUUUGGCGUUGAGGAAGAGGGCGACUUGUCCCUGUUGGUCAGAAAAGCCCAGCCUGCAGAUGAAGGUCUGUAUGAGUGUGUGGUGGCCACCAACCUUGGACAGUGGAAUUGUACAAUCAUCCUAGAGGUUACAGGACCAAUGCUUAAGGAUCCUGAGGACCAAAAUGAGAUGCCCAAGAGGAACUUGAUGUGGUUGGCAGCUGUAUUUGUGGUUGUAGGCUCUCUUGCUUCUGGACUGUUGCUUCUCAAGCUGUUUCAAACCACAACACCCUGACGAUGUCUGUACCCAAGAUUACGCUGGUUAUGGCUACAGCCAGAUGACUGGAUAUGACUGCACUGCCUGAUAUGGCUGGAAGAGGGAGCAAUCUGGUGCAACAAGCCAAUUCUGGUUCUUUUCAGAACUUACCGUUUGACCAGUCAGAAUCUUGUGAAAAGUCAAAUGUAAAAUAUCAAUGCAAUUUACAUCGCCAGAUCGUAUAAACCAAACCAGAUAUUUUUUAGCAUUUAUUGUGAUAUUGUGAAUAAAACCUGAAGUUAGGUUUGGGACAUUGGUUAUGGGAUCUUUGGAAGAAUAUGCACAUUGUCAGGGUUACACAAUUAUUUGUAAUACUAUAAAUGCGCUCAAACUACACAUGAAAAGUAUUUUUUUAUCUUUAUCUUCUAUGUACAAACUCUCCUCUCUGUACCCCAGUAUUUCCUUGAAAUAUUAUUAUAACACCAUAAUGGGCCACAUAGUGUGGAAAACCAUAAUUAUACACUUCCCUUUGAUUUAAAAAAGUAUAUGACCUCUACAUUUAUCUGCUCAAUAUAUUAUAGUCAAAUAAAACCGAUGUCACCUUAAAGUAACUAAUUUGUCAGUGUUUUAUAAUAAAGGUCAAAACUAAUAGUUUUUCCUAUGUAAGGUAGUUAAAUAACAUCUCAGGGGUUUGAAUAGUUUUUUUGUCCCAAGAUACUGUUAAAGCCUUUCCAUGGUUCAUGCAGUGGGAAUUUGGAGAGUUGCAACUGUUUUUAUUUCCACAAGAGGGGGGGCUCCCUUUAUUCUCUGCAUUAUUUCAAUCAAACAUUCCUAGAGUACGGCCUUACAUCACAUUGAAAGCAGCAUAUCUGGACACUUGUCACUUCACAUCUGGUUUACAGCAACUCACUGUUUGUAGGGCUCCAGGUAGUGAUGGCCAUUCGAGGCUUCAUUAGCAUUAUUUUAGCAGCAGGAUAUUAUGCUGGCAGUGCUCAGAUUUUCUUAAUCACAAUAAAAAACAUUAUUUAAAUGUAUAUAGUUAUACAUUUCAAUGUAAUAUAGAUAACAUUCUAGUCUGUGAAAAAGAAGAGAAAAGAAUAACAUGGGUAUGGACAUUAAACAUAAAAUGUAUAGACUAGAUUGUUAACUAUAUUACCUUAUACAUUUAAAUGAUGGCUUUUAUUUUGAAAAAGAAAAUCUGCAUUUGCACUGCUAGCACAAUAUCCUGAUGCUAGAGGAACGGUAAUGAAGCCUUGAUUGGCCAUUAUUAGGUCCGGGCAUGGGCCACCAAACCCCUGCGACUUAUUCAGAAUGUAGCGACCUGCCUGGUGUUCAAGUUCUCCAUGUCACCCUGCUUCUCACACCACUGGUUUCCAGUUGAAGUUUGUAUCUGCAACAACAGGAGCCUCUCCCCCCCUGCAGCUAUGCUCCAACUCUUCACCUCUACCCAGGCUCUUCAUUCAGCCACCACCGGGCUCACCCCCUCCCCGCUUCGGGGCAGCUCCCAAUUUACAAAGUCAGAACUCUUCAUUGUCCUGUCCCUCAAUGGUGGAACUAAGAUCCCAUGGGGGCUAGAAUAGCUGAGACUGCCCAUUUUCAAAAAACCUAACUAAAAUGGUUCCACUCCCACCACCUCUGUUGUCUUUUUAUAAUAAUGUAAAUAAAUAAUAGACUUUGUUUUUAUUAUUUGUAUGGUCUUCUUUCCAGCACUGGGUUUGGCUGAAACUAAUGCAUUGACUAGAAUGCCAUCACUACUGAGCUGUGUGUUUGUUUUAUCUAGCUCUCUUAAAAUGUAUGCAGUUACGGUAAAUCACUCUAGAUAAGUGCAUCUGCUAAUGACUAAUGUGAAAAUGGUGUGCUGGCUCUUGUACAGCUCACCAAGUCAACAUCAGGGGCCGUAAAAGAGAAAGAUGUCCGAGGAUCAUUUGGACGCUUCCAUUACUAGUCAUCUGAGUGAGAUAAUGGUGCUACAGAAAGUGGCAAGCAAAGACGGUUGUCUGCAAAGCCAGGCUGCCAUGGUCAGACAUCUCUUGUUCUGAUCGAGUUUGCCAUUUGUCAGAGACAUGAGACUGUACUUUCACAGCAACAUUGACAAGAACUGUGUGCCAGCUUUCAAGUGAGCCUUUCCACUCAUGUAAAAACUGCCAUUGUGCCCUAAAGAGACAUACACUGCUGCUGGUUAGCAUGCAUUUUUGAAUGUUGAUAUCUUAUAUGUUUAUUUUAUUAUAUUCUGUUUUUUUUAUUUACAGUGAAUUCACCCAGAGGAAGAGAAUGUGCAGAAGUUUAGCGUCACUGUAGCGUGUGUCAAAUAAUAUCGCAGAAUAUUAACACAUACAUAUAUAUAUGUAUGGGUGCAAUUGACAUGGCUUGCACUUAGUCUCAGGGUCAAAUACAAUUUGUGACUCAUAAUCACGUGAGAUCAGUAGCUGCUUCUGCUUUUUUUUUUUUUAAAUCUCUAAUCAUUCCCUAUCUCUCUGUUGUUUAUCUCUGUGUUUUUAAGGACAGAUAACUAGGCAGCGUUAUCUAGACAUUUCCAUUUAUUUUGAAAGCUCAGAUAUACAGUGCAUGUUGGUAAAACAUGUCUGCUCUUUAUUUGUGUUAUGCAAUCUUCCUUUGCAUCGUAUCGGCUGAUGGUGAGUGGUAUUUAUAUGGUUUAAUAGUUUUCUAUUGGGAGAGUCAUAUACUUUUAAGAGUUAAUGAAAACAUUUGUCCUAUUUCACAUUUACUACUGUUGCAUUAACAUUUAUUAAAAGAUU
rnacentral:lncRNA from 1 species